rnacentral:rRNA from 1 species
GGGAUAAGUGCUGAAAGCAUCUAAGCAUGAAGCCCCCCUCAAGAUGAGAUUUCCCAACUUCGGUUAUAAGAUCCCUCAAAGAUAAUGAGGUUAAUAGGUUCGAGGUGGAAGCAUGGUGACAUGUGGAGCUGACGAAUACUAAUCGAUCGAAGACUUAAUCAA